GAUGAACGCUGGCGGCGUGCCUAAUACAUGCAAGUCGAGCGAACAGACGAGGAGCUUGCUCCUCUGACGUUAGCGGCGGACGGGUGAGUAACACGUGGAUAACCUACCUAUAAGACUGGGAUAACUUCGGGAAACCGGAGCUAAUACCGGAUAAUAUAUUGAACCGCAUGGUUCAAUAGUGACAGACGGUUUUGCUGUCACUUAUAGAUGGAUCCGCGCCGCAUUAGCUAGUUGGUAAGGUAACGGCUUACCAAGGCAACGAUGCGUAGCCGACCUGAGAGGGUAAUCGGCCACACUGGGACUGAGACACGGUCCAGACUCCUACGGGAGGCAGCAGUAGGGAAUCUUCCGCAAUGGGCGAAAGCCUGACGGAGCAACGCCGCGUGAGUGAUGAAGGUCUUCGGAUCGUAAAACUCUGUUAUUAGGGAAGAACAAAUGUGUAAGUAACUAUGCACGUCUUGACGGUACCUAAUCAGAAAGCCACGGCUAACUACGUG
rnacentral:rRNA from 1 species